CUCUCUUUGAUAUUAUAAAUAAAGAGUUGAGCCUGCCCAGUGAUAAAUAUUUAACGGCCGCGGUACUCUGACCGUGCAAAGGUAGCAUAAUCAUUUGCCUCAUAAUUGGGGGCUAGUAUGAAAGGUUUGACGAGAGCAAUACUGUCUCUUUUUAAUUUUAUAAAAUUUGAUUUUUAGGUGAAGAAGCCUAAAUAAAAUUGAAAGACAAGAAGACCCUAUCGAGCUUUAAAAAAAUUUUAUUAAAUUAAGUGAUAACAAAAAUCAAAUAUAAUAAAAAAUUUUAGUUGGGGCGACUAAGGAACAUAUAAAGCUUCCUAUUUUAAUAUUUAAGCAUUAUUAGCCAUGAUCCAAAAUCUUUGAUUAAAAAAAUUAGUUACCGUAGGGAUAACAGCAUAAUCUUUUUUGAGAGUUCUUAUCGAAAAAUAGGUUUGUGACCUCGAUGUUGGACUAGAAUAUCCUAAUGAUGCAGAAGUCUUUAAGGGUUGGUCUGUUCGACCAUUAAUAUUCUACGUGAUCUGAGUUCAGACCGGA
rnacentral:rRNA from 1 species